GACGAACGCUGGCGGCGCGCUUAACACAUGCAAGUCGAACGGAAAGGCCUGCUUUCCCUUGUGGAUUGCGGGUACUCGAGUGGCGAACGGGUGAGUAACACGUGAGUGAUCUGCCCCCAACUUGGGUAUAAGCCUGGGAAACUGGGUCUAAUUCCCGAUAGGACUGCAGGGUGGUGCCUGUGGUGGAAAACGAUUUUCUAGUGGUUGGGGAUGAGCUCGCGGCCUAUCAGCUUGUUGGUGGGGUAAUGGCCUACCAAGGCGGCGACGGGUAGCCGGCCUGAGAGGGUGGACGGCCACAUUGGGACUGAGAUACGGCCCAGACUCCUACGGGAGGCAGCAGUGGGGAAUAUUGCACAAUGGGCGGAAGCCUGAUGCAGCGACGCCGCGUGGGGGAUGACGGCCUUCGGGUUGUAAACUCCUUUCGACCGCGAGGAAGCCACCUGGUUGGAAGGGUGGUGACGGUAGUGGUAAAAGAAGCACCGGCUAACUACGUG
rnacentral:rRNA from 1 species